AAGUUGUAACCAGGUUUCCGUAGGUGAACCUGCGGAAGGAUCAAUA
rnacentral:rRNA from 1 species